UGCCUGUACAAAUGUCGUCUCUAAAAUACAUUAUUUAGGGUUCACGUCUCUCAUACUUCACGUUCGUGCCACAUACAUGUACGUCCGUUACGUAGUAAGUACCCUCGAGAAUAGAACUAGCCGUUAGUCAAAUUCAAAAGUUUUUCAUUUUUUAAAUUUUAUUUCCCUUUCCACAUGUUGUAAAAUCGAGCAAAACCCUGUGCAAAGAAAAACUCUCUCUCUCUCUCCAUAACCCCAUACGAAUCCAGGUAAAGGUUGCUCAGAUUUUCAGGUUGUUCGUACAAGCUAGGGUUUGUUAAUUCCAACUAAAAUUUCUGACCUCUGGUAGUGUUUGGGCUUCAUUUUGAAGGAUCACAAGGCUUUUUUCUAUUGGAUUUCCACAAUACAGAGCCGGGCAAGUAUAUCCUGUUUUCCUUGGAUUCUUAAACUGCACAAAGCUUCUGGAAUCCUUUAAGGUAAAGACUGUUCCUGGAACACCGCAACAAAAUGGUCAUUGAGAGGAUGAAUAGGAUCAUCAUUGAAAGAGUAAGAAGCAUGCUUCAAGCAAUUUUGGCCUGAUGCUGCUAAUACAACUGUAUAUUUGAUUAAUAGAUCUCUUAAUACACCCUUGAAUGGUAAAAUACCUGAAAUUAUUUGGAGAGGCAAGAGUGUGACAUAUGAACACUUGAGAACAUUUGGGUGUGAGGCUUAUAUUCAAGUGCCAAGUGAAAGUUGAGCCAAGCUGGAUGCCAAGUCAAGAAAAUGUAUUUUUCUUGGGUAUGGUGGUGAUGAUAAAGGUUAUAGGCUUUGAGAUCUUAUUGAUAAGAAGACCAUCAGGAGCAGGGAUAUUCUCUUUAAUGAGAAUGUGAUGUUUAUUAAAAAAAGCAAGAAGAGCUAAAGUAAGAAAGACUUGUUGUGGACAUACAAGUCCAAAAUCCCAUUGCUUCACCUCAGCAAAGGCAAGAAACUCAAAUUCAAGCUCAAGAUGGUAUUGAUGGAGGGGGCGUUAGUUAUGAGGAUUGAUUGAAGAUGAAGAAGGCCUACCGGAUGCACAUGUGCAAGACUUGAGAAGAUCCCACAUUUCCUCACAAGCCCACACCAAGGUAAUCUCCUUCCUUAUUAUGCUUUGUAUACUGACAGUGGCGAACUUGAGUCUUUUCAAGAGGCUAUUUAUUUAUUGCCCUAAUGUUGAAAAAUGACAUAAGGCAAUGGAAGAGGAGAUUGAUUCUUUGCAUAAGAAUAACAUAUGGAAAUAAAGCAUUGAAGAAUUGGUGGGUAUAUACAAAUAAGUGGGGAAAAUGGUUUUAUGCGAUAUAAGGCCAGAUUUGUGCUGAAAGGCUACAGGGCAAAAAUCAGGCAUUGAUUUUAAUGAAAUUUUUGCUCCUACUGUUAAGCAUAGCUUUAUUAGAGGUGUUUUACCUUUGGUUGCUAACUUGAAUUUGGAGCUAAAACAACUUGAUAUAAAAAUUGCCUUCUUGCAUGGUGAUCUUUAAGAAGAUAUUUACAUGUGUCAACUUAAAGGUUUUGUCAUCCAAUCCUAACUUCGUUUGCCAAUUAAAAAAGGGAUUGUAUAGUUUGAAGCAAGCAUCUAGGCAAUAGUAUAAGAAAUUUGAGAGUUUUAUGCUAAGUGGAGGUUAUUCAGCAUAUGAUUUUUUUACUGUUUUGUUGCUUUAUGUUGAUGAUAUGCUUGUUGCUAGCAAUGAUCUGAAUGAAACCAAGCGUUUGAAGCUUGAUAUGUCCAAGCAUUUUCUCGCCAAAUAUCUUGGACCAGCCAAGGAGAUAUUGGGCAUGCACAUCCAUAGAGAUAGAAAGCAAACGAAGCUUUGGUUCAAUCAACCUAAAUAUAUUAAUAUGAUUAACUGUAAACCUGUUUCUACACCAUUAGUUGCACAUUUUAAGUUGUCUAAAAAUGACUCUCCAAUAAUGAGAUAGAUAAAACUAAGAUGAAGAACGAUGAAGAAUGUUUCAUAUACUUCUACAGCGGGUAGAUUAAUGUAUGCGAUGGUUUGUACUAGACUUGUUAUUGCUCAUGCAGUGGGAGGUUUUUCCAGAUUUAUGUCUAAUUCAGGUUGGGAACAUCAGUUAAGUGGAUCCUUCGGUAUUUGAAGGGGACACGAAAUGUAUAUUUGUGUUAUGGAAACUCAUCAUUAGAAGUUGUUGGUUAUGUAUAUGUAGAUCAUGCAAGGUGUCGUGGCACUAGAAGGUCUACCACUAGGUACAUUUUCAAGGUUGGUGGUGGUGCAGUCAGUAGGAUGUCAAGGUUGCAAGAUAUUGUUGCCUUGUCAUCAACUGAAGCUGAGUAUGUGGCAUUGACAGAGGCAGCAAAGGAAAUAAUUUAGUUGAGGAGGUUAUUUGACCAGUUUGGGGUAAAACACGAUAAAUAUAUUGUCCGUUGUGAUAACCAUAGUGCUAUUCAUCUGGCUAAAAAUGCAGUUUAUCACUCCAAGACAAAACACAUAGACGUCAUAUACCAUUUCAUUUGAUUGACCCUCAAACGCAAAGAUCUGUAGGUAAACAAGAUCCACAUUAAGAAGAACUUUGCUAAUAUGUUGACAAAAGUUGUCUCAACAGAGAAGAAUAAGAUGUGUAGAAAACUUUCGAGGUUUGAGGAGAAGUAGCCUCGAGAGGAUGGAGAAUAGUGCAUUGGUGGUUGUUUUAAAGGCUCGGUAAUUUGUCUUCAAGUGGGAGAUUAUUGUAUACAUAUGUGAAGCUAAAUCUGUAAAGUAGUCUAUAGUAAAUCCAUGUUAAUUUUAUGUGCACCCAUGUGGACUUUCUUAUCCUACCAAAAGUGUACAUGGGAAAGGCGGUGAUCAUGUGGACUUUCUUAUCCCACCGAAAAUGCACAUGGGAAGUUCUUUAAAGUUGGUGAACCAUGUAGACUCAUAGAGUUAUAUGGAAAGGCAAUUAAAGGUUUAUAAAUUGGGGAGCUCACAAUGGGUAUUGUGUGCCUCGUUUUUGGGUCUUGCUUUUUAGAGAGAGAAAGUAUCUAAGAAACACACAUUUGUAAUGUGUUUGGAGCCGAGUAUAUGGCACUGACAAAGGCAGCAAAAGGAAUGAUUUGGUUGAGGAGGUUAUUUGACCAGUUUGGGGCAAAACAAGAUAAAUAUAUUGUGCAUUGUGAUAAACAGAGUGCUAUUCAUCUGGCUAAGAAUGCAGUUUAUCACUCCAAGACAAAACACAUAGAGGUCAAAUACCAUUUCAUUUGAUUGGCCCUCAAACGUAAAGCUCUGCAGGUAGACAAGAUCCACAUUGAGAAGAACUUUGCUGAUAAGUUGACAAAAGUUUUCUCAACAGAUAAGAAUAAGAUAUGUAAAAAACUUUCGGGGUUGGAGGAGAAGUAGCCUCGAGAGGAUGGAAAAUGGUGCAUUGGUGGUUGUUUCAAAAGCUCGAUAAUUUGUCUUCAAGUGGGAGAUUGUUGUAUAUACAUAUGUGAAGCCAAAACUGUAGAAUAGUCUAAAGUAGAUCCAUGUUGAUUUAUGUGCACCCAUGAUAUGAUGGAUCAUGUGGACUUUCGUAUCCCACCAAAAAUGCACAUGGGAAAGGCAGUGAUCAUGUGGACUUUCUUAUCCCACCAAAAAUGCACAUGGGAAAUUCUUUAAAGUUAGUGAACCAUGUGGACUCAUAGUGAACUAUAUGGAAUAGCGAUUAAAGGUUUAUAAAUAGGGGAGCUCACUGGGUAUUGUGUGCCUCGUUUUGGGCCUUGCUUUCUAGAGAGAGAAAGUGUCUAAGAAACACACUUUUGUAGUGUGUUGGGAGCUGUUUUAGAGAUAGAAAAUAUUGUCGUAACUUGGUAUUUUUGGUCUCAUUUCCUCUUAUAAUCUCUAUUGAAUCAGUAAGUAAAGCCUCACAUUAUUCUCCCGUAGAUGUAGGUUACGAUUCAUUACUAAACCAUGUUAAAUCCUAGUGUUAUGAGAUGUAGAUGUUGUUGUAUUUUCAUCUUAUGUUUUUCUCUCUCCAGAGAUACCUCCUUGUGCCUCGCGCCAAGGCCUCAUGCCAAGGCCUAGAGAGAUGUCCCUACAUCUCGCAACACUUCGGGCCACACCUUAGGCCACUUCAGGAGCCUCACUCUCCCUGCAGUGUGUAUAGGGUUUCACACCAAGCCCGACACACAAUUAACUCCUUCACAUCGAUCAGACACUCUCUCUCUCCUCUCUCUUAAUUCCCAUCUCUCUCUCGUCUCCUUUCACAUCAAUCAUCUCGUAAUUCCCAUCUCUCUAUUGCCUCCUUUCACAUCAAUCAUCAUAUAAAUUAGCAAUAUAAAUAUAAACAGUAUGGAAUCAAAGCGACAUUGCAGACAGACCUGCAUAAUCAUUUAUUCUGAGAACUUGUUGAAAUACAGACAGUUAUCUUGGAUAACAUGUGUCCAUAAUUUGUAGAGUACGGUGUUUUAUUUUACAAUUGUGGAUAGGAGAGUCAGUAUUUUAGAUGUUAAUCUAUAAAUUGGAUAAUUAUAUAUGAUAUUGACCAACCAAGCUGUUGAAUUGUGGCAUGGUCUUGUGAUCCAUUACCAUUCAGUUUGAAAAUAACAUCAAGAUGCUACAUGCCACACCUAAAAUGUGGUAUUAUUCUCUUUUAAUAUUGUCAGAAUUUCAAAAAUCAGACCACAGCAGCUGGUUUUCCCAAUUGAACAAGAAAAGGUCGAUGAGCGGUCUAAGUCCCUCAGUAAAUAAGGACUUAGACGAAUUCCUCCAAAAAUCAUAUUUUUAUGAUUUUUAACAUAAUAGAAACAUUGGUUUGGAUUGAUUUUGAGAAUCAUAACGCCUUGUUAAACUUUUCAACGACAAAAAAUUAAAAAAUUUAAAUUUUACAUUAAAAAAAUUGACCGAGUCAGCCAAUCAAACUUUGAACCAGUGGGUGACCAGUUCGUCCAACCUAUCUCUGUUUUUAAGUACUGAAUGGUAUAAAUCUCCAAAGUCAUACAGUCAGUCUCUUGUAGUAUUAAACUUACUAUUCUUGUUGCUUGGAUAUAGAUCCUUUUAUUUUAAUGGGAUGAAGGUCAUUAUAUUGCAUAUAUAUGACUAUUUAUGCCGAUUAUAUUAAUGGCUUGACACGGAUGGUUAUUUACUUUUGAAUAGCAGCUGGCAGCUUCGAGAUACAAAUGUGGUGUUCUUUCAUUAAUUGAAAACUUUCCUAAAUAUUAAAUCUUUUUGUCUGUCUUUGUUUCACCUGAUAUGCAUUCUAACUUCCAUUUAUUUUGUACCAAGAUGGGGAAAAGACAUGAUGAAACUAAGGAAUGGUAAGAGAAGUGAUUGUAUAUUCUUUGAUCUGGAACCUUCAAAAGAACAUUGUUAUAACUUAUAACAUGUAUCAUGGAUUUUUCUUCUUUCCAAUAACCUGCAAUCAUGCAUUAGUUUGUCUUUUCAAAAGAACAUUGUUAUAACAUGUACUUAUACUAUACCUAUGUUGGCUUUCAUUUCAUAUGAUUGGAUUCUUUUCUUGAUGAGGGACUAACAACCACACACAUACACACACAUUAAAGGAAAAAGUCUUAGUGAAACAAGAAUGAACAGCAGCUAAAAUUGGGUAGACUUUAGCUGGCGUUCAGCGAAAAAAAGCGACAAAUUUCAGGCACAAAUGCAAACUUCAAGCAUCUGUGCUAACUUCCAUAAAGUACUUCCCUUUGCUGCAGAAUUUUUCGGAUGGAAACUGAACUUUUGUUGAAGCUUCAAACCAUAGAUAUAUAGCUUUGUAAUUGAUGAAAUAACAAAAACCAUCUACUCCACCGAGUCCGAGUGGAGUCCACCCGGACUUGGCCCUUGGAGGAGCCGAAUACCCUUGUACAACUCAGGUAUUACUAAAGAAAAGAAACUGCAGAAUACCCUAGUACAACUCAGGUAUUACUUGUAAGAAGAAGAAAAGAACUUGUAUGAAGUAUGU